UACAGAGACUGCAAGCGUUGUUCGGAAUUACUGGGCGUAAAGGGCUCGUAGGCGGCCAACUAAGUCGGACGUGAAAUCCCCAGGCUCAACCUGGGAACUGCGUCCGAUACUGGAUGGCUUGAAUUCGGGAGAGGGAUGCAGAAUUCCAGGUGUAGCGGUGAAAUGCGUAGAUAUCUGGAGGAAUACCGGUGGCGAAGGCGGCAUCCUGGACCGACAUUGACGCUGAGGAGCGAAAGCCAGGGGAGCAAACGGG
rnacentral:rRNA from 1 species